GACGAACGCUGGCGGCGUGCUUAACACAUGCAAGCCGAACGAUGAUGCUGGAGCUUGCUCCAGUUGAUUAGUGGCGAACGGGUGAGUAACACGUGAGCAAUCUGCCUUGACUCUGGGAUAACUGCGGGAAACUGUAGCUAAUACCGGAUACUUUCACCGGAAGGCAUCUUCUGGUGAUGAAAGAAUUUCGGUCAGGGAUGAGCUCGCGGCCUAUCAGCUUGUUGGUGAGGUAACGGCUCACCAAGGCGACGACGGGUAACCGGCCUGAGAGGGUGACCGGUCACACUGGGACUGAGACACGGCCCAGACUCCUACGGGAGGCAGCAGUGGGGAAUAUUGCACAAUGGGCGCAAGCCUGAUGCAGCAACGCCGCGUGAGGGAUGAAGGCCUUCGGGUUGUAAACCUCUUUUAGCAGGGAAGAAGCGAAAGUGACGGUACCUGCAGAAAAAGCACCGGCUAACUACGUGCCAGCCGCCGCAGUAA
rnacentral:rRNA from 1 species